rnacentral:lncRNA from 12 species
AUGGGAUUGAAUUUGGGCCUCUUCCAGGGAGAACCCAGGGAAGUUCUGGUGACUCCGGGUCUUGUAAGGAGACUGCUCCACGCUGGGCUCCUUUCCUUACCUCCCGCCCACUGUAGCAGAGGAGCAGAGUGUGGACAGCAGAGUGUGGUUCUCAGAUUUACUGAAGGGUGGUCAGGGAGGGGGGGGUGUGGAGCUCAGGGAGCAGGUGGGUCCUGCCUUAAAAUACUCCAAUUCAAUUCAAAAUAACAGCAGCAGCAGCAGCCUCUACAGUGACAUUCCCGCUGUUCAAUACGUGGCCUCUGCUGUCUAUCGAGACAUGUGUGCCUUACCUACUUCUGAGGCCGGUCCCACUGGGGACAGGCUUAGCAAAUCUGGUCACUGGAGGGUUUUGCAAAUUCCAUGUCUUAAAACAUCAUUAGCACUCUGUUCUGUCCAUCCCAACUAUCAGGCAGCCACAGAUGCUGCUCCCAGCCAUGCAGUAAAAUAGAACUGAGAACCAAUACACAGAGUGUUACCUGAGCAUCUAUUAUGUGCCAGGCCCUGAACAAAGUGUGAGGAUUCAUUGAGACUUCCUCACAAGUGCAUGACAAGGCUGUGACUUGAAUCCAACCCAACUGACUCCAGACCUCGUGCUCUGGACCAUGGCUGUGAAGAUGAGUUUCCUACUCAUUGUGUCAUUCUCGGAAUAUAAGGCCAUGUCCCCAGUGUGGCCCAUGCUGGGCAUUUCUGAUAAGUAGGCCGCCCUGCAGAGAUGGGUCCCUGUGUCCAGGGUGGCACCAUAGCUCCACUUGCGGAGAGAGACUUUUAAUGUUCUGUUUGGUCGGUAAGACUGAUCUGCUGUAGCACUUCUGAGCCGCUGGAUAGUAGAUCCUGGAAGGCAGGGUCCCGGCAUGCAGUGGAUGCUUGAGAUUGUUCAAAUGACAGAGCUGCCUUUUCAACACAGGAAUCCUCACUGACCCCCCAUACUCCAUUGUUGGAAAUGGGGGCUAUUGGUCAGCCCACGAGGGAGUCACAGGAUGCUCUCUGGAGCCUUCAGCGAUAAAUCCAAGUGCUCAAAGAUGGCAGUGCAGAGCCAGGUUGACACAGGAUUAGUGAAUUCCCAAUCAAAGCCACACUCACACCCAACAGCUGCUUCACCUGAACAGGAAGCUGGGUAUGAAACUAGAGCAGAGGUGAUAAGGUCCCGAAAAGCCAGGAUUAUCCUUCCUUUUCCUCUAAAGCCAAGAGGAAGAAGACUAUGGGCUCUUUAACUCCAGAGGAGCAGCCAAAUUAAAAAAAAAAAAAAAAAUUCUGGAUAAUCUGAAAAUGAGAACUCAUCAAGCACAAAAACCAGGUGGGAAAUAAAAAAAAAAAUUGCUUUCA